rnacentral:tRNA from 1 species
GCCUGGAUGGCGGAAUUGGUAGACGCGUUGGACUCAAAAUCCAAUAUUCGCAAGGAUGUGGGAGUUCGAUUCUCCCUCUAGGCACCA